rnacentral:rRNA from 1 species
AACGAACGCUGGCGGCAUGCCUAACACAUGCAAGUCGAACGAGACCUUCGGGUCUAGUGGCGCACGGGUGCGUAACGCGUGGGAAUCUGCCCUUGGGUUCGGAAUAACAGUUGGAAACGACUGCUAAUACCGGAUGAUGACGUAAGUCCAAAGAUUUAUCGCCCAAGGAUGAGCCCGCGUAGGAUUAGCUAGUUGGUGAGGUAAAGGCUCACCAAGGCGACGAUCCUUAGCUGGUCUGAGAGGAUGAUCAGCCACACUGGGACUGAGACACGGCCCAGACCCCAACGGGGGGCAGCAGUGGGGAAUAUGGGACAAUGGGCGAAAGCCUGAUCCAGCAAUGCCGGGUGAGUGAUGAAGGCCUUAGGGUUGUAAAGCUCUUUUCCCCGGGAUGAUAAUGACAGUACCGGGAAAAUAAGCCCCGGCUACCUCCGU